rnacentral:rRNA from 1 species
UACGUAGGGUGCAAGCGUUGUCCGGAAUUAUUGGGCGUAAAGAGCUCGUAGGCGGUUUGUUGCGUCGGCUGUGAAAUCCCGAGGCUCAACCUCGGGUCUGCAGUCGAUACGAGCAAACUAGAGUGUUGCAGGGGAGACUGGAAUUCCUGGUGUAGCGGUGAAAUGCGCAGAUAUCGGGAGGAACACCAAUGGCGAAGGCAGCUCGCUGGGCCGGUACUGACGCUGAGACGCGAAAGCGUGGGGAGCAAACAGG